GCAUUAUCCGAAACGUCUGUUUCAGAAAUAACAACAGUCAGAGGCAAUCAAUUUCCAUAAAACUCAUGACUGGAAACGAGUUUUACCGGAAAUAAAAACGUCUUUACUGGACUUAUUCAAAGGGCAAUUCAGAAAAAAAGAUCCAUUUUAUAAUGCAGAUUCAAAGAAGUGGAAUAUUUUAUCAAUUUCUCACGAUACUUCACACAUGUUUACGGCAGGGAAAUACCAAGAAUUUAACACAUAUGAUAAUUUUCAGUAAAUUCAUACUAAAACUGAAAACAAUAAUUUCUCGUGGAAACUGAUGAAAGCACCCUUUUGUUCUGCUCAUUUAAAGAUAUGGAAAAUUUAUUCUCAACUAAUUGGACAAAGGGUCAAACACAGAAUGUCUAAUCACGAAUGCGUCGGUAAUGUAAGCAGAUUAUCGCCACCAAGACGAUCUACCAAUCAACAAGGAUUAUGAAUUAUUUAGUGGAGGGCAGGUGAAUGCAGGGAUCAGGUCUUCCACUGUUUCGUUUCAUUCAUUAGUCAAAUAAUCCAGAAGGAACAAAAUUUUUAUUCUGAUUUUCAAUCAAUGAAAUCUCGGGACCAUGCUAUCAGAAAACAGGUCAACAGCGGGAAGACUGAAUUUUAAUCAUUAUCUUAAACAAACCCAAACAAUGCAUCUUACUUUAUGUUAUUAAAUUUUGUUUACUUAGUUUUAUCUACGUCAAGUCAAUGAAAAUGUUUAGAAUGAUCAGCGUUAUUUCCAUGGCAAUAUAACUUAACUUGAACUACGUGUGAAGCGCAUUGGAGCAGGUUGUGAGCCGAAAUUCACGAAAAUUUCCCCUAAAGUGUGCAAAAUUUUGGGAUUGAACCAUAUGGCAAGCGAAAAAAGGUCCUUCCACCGAUAGUUUGGUUCGAAAUAUUGUCCCGCCUCAAGGAUUGAGAAUAUUCCACAAAAGACGCUUAUUCUGAUGCAGUUUAGUUCAAGCAUUCACCCUUCUCACGCAUUGUGAGGCACCAUGUGGAAUUGUUACGAAGUACUAUUUUAAGAGGUGAACGCACGAGACACAGGGAGUGAAUAAUCGCAACCAACUGUAUAUUAUAUAACGCUGAAUAUGCAAAAGCGGCGGACCCUGGGGCUCGUUUUUCCCUCAAAAAAGAAGAAACUUUUAUGGGACCAUAUCUGGAGGUCCACACAGAUGUUGCAACAGUCUCCAGCCCCCAUCUUUUCUCCUUCAGUAGUGCACUAGUCGGCUUAAACCAGAGAGGUGUUCCAACUCUUCAUGAAAUCGUCUCUUAUCGCGUGGUGUGACAGAAGUUUCGACAUUCUGAGCGGAUGUCGUCAGAAGACAUAAUCUGCCAUCGUUCUAGGGUUUUAAAACUUUUGCAAAAUCAGCUCCGCUCAUUUCCACUUUGUUCUCCUUUAGGAGAGAAUGUGAUCUUAUCCUUUCUUUCUUAAACUUAACAUGUGAGGAAUGUAAAUUUACCUUUUUAACAAAUUUUCAUGUACAUGUUGGGUCGAUUCUU